rnacentral:rRNA from 1 species
GACGAACGCUGGCGGCGUGCUUAACACAUGCAAGUCGAACGGAAAGGCCCUGCUUUUGUGGGGUGCUCGAGUGGCGAACGGGUGAGUAACACGUGAGUAACCUGCCCUUGACUUUGGGAUAACUUCAGGAAACUGGGGCUAAUACCGGAUAGGAGCUCCUGCUGCAUGGUGGGGGUUGGAAAGUUUCGGCGGUUGGGGAUGGACUCGCGGCUUAUCAGCUUGUUGGUGGGGUAGUGGCUUACCAAGGCUUUUACGGGUAGCCGGCCUGAGAGGGUGACCGGCCACAUUGGGACUGAGAUACGGCCCAGACUCCUACGGGAGGCAGCAGUGGGGAAUAUUGCACAAUGGGCGGAAGCCUGAUGCAGCAACGCCGCGUGCGGGAUGACGGCCUUCGGGUUGUAAACCGCUUUCGCCUGUGACGAAGAGUGAGUGACGGUAAUGGGUAAAGAAGCACCGGCUAACUACGUG